CGGCGAGCGGCGGACGGCUGAGUAACGCGUGGGAAUCUGCCCCAAAGUGAGGGAUAACUGCCCGAAAGGGUAGCUAAUACCGCACAUGGUCUUCGGAUUAAAGCAUUUAUGCGCUUUGGGAGGAGCCCGCGUCGGAUUAGGUAGUUGGUAGGGUAAUGGCCUACCAAGCCGACGAUCCGUAGCUGGUCUGAGAGGAUGAUCAGCCAGACUGGGACUGAGACACGGCCCAG
rnacentral:rRNA from 1 species